rnacentral:rRNA from 1 species
GAGUUUGAUCUUGGCUCAGAACGAACGCUGGCGGCGUGGAUAAGACAUGCAAGUCGAACGGGAGAAUUGCUAGCUUGCUAAUAAUUCUCUAGUGGCGCACGGGUGAGUAACACGUGAGUAACCUGCCCCCGAGAGCGGGAUAGCCCUGGGAAACUGGGAUUAAUACCGCAUAGUAUCGAAAGAUUAAAGCAGCAAUGCGCUUGGGGAUGGGCUCGCGGCCUAUUAGUUAGUUGGUGAGGUAACGGCUCACCAAGGCGAUGACGGGUAGCCGGUCUGAGAGGAUGUCCGGCCACACUGGAACUGAGACACGGUCCAGACACCUACGGGUGGCAGCAGUCGAGAAUCAUUCACAAUGGGGGAAACCCUGAUGGUGCGACGCCGCGUGGGGGAAUGAAGGUCUUCGGAUUGUAAACCCCUGUCAUGUGGGAGCAAAUUAAAAGAUAGUACCACAAGAGGAAGAGACGGCUAACUCUGUGACAGCAGCCG